CUUAGGGACUGACUAGAUGUUGAGGCUCCGCAGGCGCACAGUCGGUCAGUAAAGGUUUUCUUUUUCUUUUUACAUCUCUCUGCUGUGUCUUAACUCUCGGGACAACUUCGAACCUCCUGGAGGAUAAUGUCUGGACUCUUUGCUUUCACGCGUGUGUGACCGUCUCGACUCCGGUUGUGGAAGUUUACUCCUGCUGACAGGAUGACAACAAAAAUGUUGGGAGGAGGCCAUGGUAGGAGGUGCAGUCCUUGCUAGAUUCCCAUCUUCCUCAGUUUUACUCCUCCGCCAUCUCUGUUGACCUCCCCGCCGACUGGUGCCAUGGCCAACCACCUGGAAUUAAUGCAGGAGCUGCAGCAGCUGGACAAGGUGCCCAGUCUGGAGAGGCUGCGGGCAGCUCAGAAGCGCCGUACACAGCAGUUGAAGAGAUGGGCGGUAUAUGAGAAGGAGAUGCAGAACAAAAAGAGAAAGGCCGAUAAGAAAGGACGUUUUAUAAACCUCCAACAUUCAGAGCACAAGAAGCAUGUUUCAUUUUCUGCCAGCGUGGCCCUUCUGGAGGCUUCAACCAGG